rnacentral:hammerhead_ribozyme from 1 species
AUCCGUCUGACUAGUCCCAAGUAGGACGAAACGCGCAUCCUGGAU